GUCAAAAUGGUUGACCAACAUCCUGUCCCCUCCGGCGAAGUAUCCUCAGUGGGCUGACUGUGUUCUCGACCGUCGGUGCAAAGAUGAUGCCAUCCGAUCGCUCACGCACAACAUUAAUUGUUGUAAUCCUCAUUACUGAAGUGAAACGAGACCAGCUACCAUCGGUUUUCUCUGGAGGCAUUGUCCUGCUGUAGGGCGAGUGCAUCCUGUCCCCUCCGGCGAAGUAUCCUCAGUGGGCUGACUGUGUUCUCGACCGUCGGUGCAAAGAUGAUGCCAUCCGAUCGCUCACGCACAACAUUAAUUGUUGUAAUCCUCAUUACUGAAGUGAAACGAGACCAGCUACCAUCGGUUUUCUCUGGAGGCAUUGUCCUGCUGUAGGGCGAGUGGUAAGAGUGACCAACUUGAAAUCCACGGCUUGGCUUUUUGCUUAGUUAUAGGCAUCUUGAGUUGAAGUUUACUCUGUGGAGUCCACAUGUAAAGUGACCCCCAGGGCAUACUUAGUUGAAGCUUGAGGAUAUUGGGAUGGUUCAUCAUUGUGCUUCUCUGUACUGAUGAGCUGCUUAGAUAAACAAAUACCUUAGCCAUAACAAAAGUCAUAUCAUAAUGAAAAACAAA